rnacentral:rRNA from 1 species
UACGAAGGGGGCUAGCGUUGCUCGGAAUUACUGGGCGUAAAGGGAGCGUAGGCGGAUAGUUUAGUCAGAGGUGAAAGCCCAGGGCUCAACCUUGGAAUUGCCUUUGAUACUGGCUAUCUUGAGUACGGAAGAGGUAUGUGGAACUCCGAGUGUAGAGGUGAAAUUCGUAGAUAUUCGCAAGAACACCAGUGGCGAAGGCGGCUUACUGGUCCGGUUCUGACGCUGAGGCGCGAAAGCGUGGGGAGCAAACAGGAUUAGAAACCCCUGGGUAGU